UACGUAGGGUGCGAGCGUUAAUCGGAAUUACUGGGCGUAAAGCGUGCGUAGGCGGUUUGCCGUGUCCUGUGUGAAAGCCCCGGGCUCAACCUGGGAAUUGCAUGGGAAACUGGCAGGCUUGAGUGUGGCAGAGGAGGGUGGAAUUCCGCGUGUAGCAGUGAAAUGCGUAGAGAUGCGGAGGAACACCGAUGGCGAAGGCAGCCCUCUGGGCCAACACUGACGCUCAGGCACGAAAGCGUGGGGAGCGAACAGG
rnacentral:rRNA from 1 species